UGAGUAACACGUGGACAAUCCUGCCCCCCGGCCGGGAUAGCCCAGGGAAACCUGGAUUAAUACCGGAUGAGACGGGACCCGCGAUGGCGGGAUCCGGGAAAGGCGCUGCGGCGCCGCCGGGGGAUGAGUCUGCGUCCCAUUAGCUAGACGGCGGGUAACGGCCCACCGUGGCGACGAUGGGUAGCCGGCCUGAGAGGGUGGACGGCCACAUUGGAACUGAGACACGGUCCAGACUCCUACGGGAGGCAGCAGCUAAGAAUCUUCCGCAAUGGGCGAAAGCCUGACGGAGCGAACCGCCGCGUGAACGAAGAAGGCCGUGAGGUUGUAAAGUUCUUUUCGGGAGGGGGAACAACCGUGGCAGGGAAUGGCCGCGGGAUGACGUGAAUCCCGGAAUAAGCCCCGGCUAACUACGUGCCAGCCGCAGC
rnacentral:rRNA from 1 species